UUCCCAGUAAGCGCUGGUCAUCAGCCAGCGCUGAUUAAGUCCCUGCCCUUUGUACACACCGCCCGCCAAUUGUGGCGUUCAGCCACGCGAGACUGAGCAAUAACAGGUCUGUGAUGCCCUUAGAUGUCCGGGGCUGCACGCGCGCCACAAUGGGCGGAUCAACGUGUGCCUACCCUGCGCCGAGAGGCGCGGGUAACCCGUUGAAACCCGCUCGGAAGAGCCCAG